rnacentral:rRNA from 1 species
ACAACUUUCAACAACGGAUCUCUUGGCUCUCGCAUCGAUGAAGAACGCAGCGAAAUGCGAUACGUAAUGUGAAUUGGAGAAUUCAGUGAAUCAUCGAAUCUUUGAACGCACCUUGCGCCCCUUGGCAUUCCGAGGGGCACACCCGUUUGAGUGUSGU